rnacentral:rRNA from 1 species
UAGGGAAUCUUCCACAAUGGGCGCAAGCCUGAUGGAGCAACACCGCGUGAGUGAAGAAGGGUUUCGGCUCGUAAAGCUCUGUUGUUAAAGAAGAACACGUAUGAGAGUAACUGUUCAUACGUUGACGGUAUUUAACCAAAAGUCACGGCUAACUACGUGCCAG